UACGUAGGGUGCUAGCGUUGUCCGGAUUUACUGGGCGUAAAGCGCACGUAGGCGGUCUUUUAAGUCGGGGGUGAAAUCCUGGAGCUCAACUCCAGAACUGCCUUCGAUACUGGAAGACUUGAGUCCGGGAGAGGUGAGUGGAACUGCGAGUGUAGAGGUGAAAUUCGUAGAUAUUCGCAAGAACACCAGUGGCGAAGGCGGCUCACUGGCCCGGUACUGACGCUGAGGUGCGAAAGCGUGGGGAGCAAACAGG
rnacentral:rRNA from 1 species